rnacentral:lncRNA from 1 species
CACACAAGAAAAUUCCAAAGUUUACAACUGCAUGUGCAUGAUGUAACAAAUAAAUCAUGAGCAUACAAUCAGCACCCACAAAACUCACCCUCAAUAUGGCGGCAGGUGUGACUUGCUGCCAGUGCUCCACCAUGAAUGUCUUCUAUUUUUACUUCAGCGCAUGGUUCUUUGACCUCUCCUCCACAAAUCAGUUCCAAGAACUUGUCCACGAGCUCAUGAAUGCCCACAAUCUGUACGCAUCCAUGAAGUUGCUCUGAACCCCA